AGCAAAUCCAUUGACAACCAAACAGCCGAGGGAAGCAAACAAAGUAUGAGCAUACUGGCUCUAAAAGGAGUCUCUCUGGGGAGAAAGCGGAGGCGGGCAGUGCCUCCAAAGAAAUGUCACUCUGAUGGAAUUGACAUUUACAAUGAAGCUGGAAGCCAAAUCCAGCAGGAGAGACCAGUCUCACCUGUACCCAGCUGUCUGUCCAUGCAAACAGACAUGUCUAUUGAUCCUCCGUUCAACUUCAUGACAGAAAAUAUAUCUACUGAUCAAAAGCCUUUCUGCAGAGACCAGUUCUGUCCACGAACAGUGACCAGUCAAUGGGACAUCAAGAAC